GCAGAGCCAGUAUGCUAUGUUUAUAUCCUAAUUUUUUUUUUAAAGUACUGUGGAAGGAAAUGUACAAUGCAGUGGUAAUAAAUAAAUAUGCCUGGUCUUUUCAUUAUAAGUAGUUUGAUCAAGUGAUAUGUAGAACUCAGCCUCUUCUAACCCCGCUACCAUAUUAUUCAAGCAGAUUGGAUAAAAAAUCCUCCCCAAAGUGGGUUGAUUAAAGCAUUUUUUUCCUUAGAAAACAAAAAUAUUUUGUUUUCCAUAGGAAGGGAUUGAAAAUCUUAAGUUUAUAUUUAAGGUGAAGAAAAACAAACUGUUGGGAAAAAAAAAAAGAUAAGGAAACCCAAAUUUAAGUGCUCAACCCUAGGUAUUCACUAGCAGAUUCUGUUGCACUCUGUUAAAAAUUAAUGGGAUAUGUCUUUUUGUGCUUGCUGUUGAGAAGCUUUAAAGGGAUGGAGAAGAGAUUUGUUUUACAAAUUCUCAAUACAAGAAAUGUUUCAUUUUUUGUUUAAUGAAUCUUGUUUAAUGAAUGCUACUAAUUGUUUAAUGAGUCUCACUAAUGAGUGGAUAGUUAGAUAUUUUUUCAUUUGUAGUUUCUGCCUUAAGAAAAUGAAGUGCCUUUCAUUGUAAGAUCCAUAUUUUAAAGUAUCUUUGAACAAUGGAAUACCAAUUUCUGAUGUCCUUGUAUUGAGCAAGCCAUGUCCUACACCCUUUUUUCUUAGCUUUUCAUAAAUUAAAUGUUCUGUGUUUGUGGGGUAUAUUCCAUUGUGAAGUGGAUUUCAUUUAGGAGUACUGGAGUUGUCUUGAGCUAUCUAAACAUUUCAAACUGUUGCUUGUGAAAUAAUUCACAACACUCUUAGUUUAAACAGGCAGUUCCAUGGGGGAAAGUUAUUAGGAACUUUCUUGUCUUUAAUGAUCAAUUAAAAGAAUACAAAAUGCAAAUAUAUUAGUUUAUAAAUGUCUUAGUGUGAUGACAUAUGUCAGUGUACAUACUCAAAUGUCCUGAUCAGAAGUCACACAUAAGGAGAACUGAACACAGUCUGAAAUUAUUCUGCUAUUCUUUUCCAUAGCAUGCACAUCAGUCUAUGGCCAUCUGAUCUCUCAGGGCCCUGCUGGAGUUGGUGAAGGGCACAUUUUUCUGUAUGCAUCACCAAAUCUGAUCCCCAGGCAGAGAUCUCCAAAUGCACAAUCAGGAAUUGUUACUUCAUGCUGCUUUCAAGAACAUCUGAGUUGUUUACUGCGCCUUGCAGACCUGUUGUUGUGUUACUGUUAGGUUUUCCAGUUACUUUUCAUCCUUCUUUGGUUUGUUACAUAGAGGAAUGGUACCAGAGCUGGACUGCAGAGAGCAGUGGGAGAUGUGGAGGUGAAUGUCUCGUGCUUGGUUCACCCAUUGCUCACUUCUCCUGUAGAGAAAAAACUUUCCUCCAUGCUCUCCCCAAGGGGAGGACAGACUACUUGAUGAAUGGACAGAUCUUUGACUUAAGGCAUCCCACUUUCUGGUAGAUACAGCUGCUUUGUCUACAGUUAGAAGUUCAGCAUGGUUUGGUUUGAACUGCCUCCACUGAAACACCAGCAACAGAAGCUUCCCACAGCUUGGGUCCAGCCAACAAUUACUGUCUCAUCCUAUCCCUGGACAAGAUCAACAUAUCUGAGAAAAACAUAUUCAACAGUGACCCCUUCCAUGUUUCUGGAGGGUCAAAACUUUGGCAGAGGCAAAAAUCCUUAGAUUUUUGGCCCUUUGAUUUUCUUCAUGCUUUUUCUACCCUGUGUUCCCCACUUCACUCAGUUGUCUGUGACCCCACGCAUGUGAGCAGAGCUGAGAUUCUCUAAGGGACACAAAUAGCAGCUAUCUCAGGGCAAAAGGAAGAAUUAAUAGAUAUAUUCUGUGUCUCUGUUAGGGAAGAAAAAAGCUGUCAGAAAAGAAUGAACAAGCAAGUGAAUGAUGCAGCACCUCAGCAGACCCUCAGCCAAGGCAGAGAUAGAAGCUGCACAUAGGUAGAAGCUAGUGACAUGUAUACUUAAUUUCUCUGCUUUGCAAAGGUCUUACUGCAGUUUUGCUGUGGGGCCAGCAACUACUUAUUGCUGGCUGUCUCCGAAUGUCUUGUUGGCUGCUGCACAUGCACAGACUGCUUUGGGCAGUCUUUUCAGAGCUUUGAGACUAGUAUAAAAAUAGACUGAGCCUGGAAGUCUGGAUUAUCAUCAUUGCUAUGGACACUUCCAAGCUGUCAUUUUAUCUGCCCUGAAUAUUUUCCUUAUUUUCGUGGUUCUGCUCAAAAGCUGACUCAAAUUCCCAGUGCAACUGUAGUGAACAUAGAAAGUUGGUCUCUUAUUCAUUCUAAUACACACUUCACUAAAAUCCUUCACCAUCCUAGCCCUUGCUGUCAUCAGUACUUGAUUUUGAGUGCUUCCAUUAUGUUUGUAUCUGCUGUAAUUUUACUUUUUUUAUAGUAUCAGCUUUCAUUAGUUAUGAUGUAUUUGGAAAUCUGUAAUAAUAAUAGUUUUGUCAAGAUAUCUUUUGAAAUAAUGUUUUAAACUGCCUGUAGAUUGUUUUGGGGUAUGUCACAUGUACAUUUCAUGUUUAGACAAUGGAUGCUACUUUAUCAAACCUUGUGAAAGGAUAUUGGGAUGGACGGUCUCUAGAAGUCUGAUGUACAUUAUUUUAUGAUUUUAUUUUUCCAGUGAUACAAACUGGGACUAAGUGGCUAGGAAACAGCACUGCUAAGUACAACCUGGAUGUCCUGACUGAACGUAAACCAUCAGCGUGCCCUGGCAGUAAAUAAUGCCAAAGGUCUUCUGGGCUGUAUUAACAGUAUACCAGGGAGAGUAAGGAAUUCAACAUUCAAUAAGCAACUUCGGUGUCUAGCUUUGGGUACCUCAGAUACAAGGAAGACAAUGAUAAACUAUAAGUACUGCAGUGGAGAGCAGGGAGUUGUAGCAUUUGUCCCUGGUGCAAGACUGAGAGAAAUAGACUUGUUUGGCUUAGAGAAGAUAUCUCAUAGCAGCCUAUCAACACCUAGGAGGAAAUUAUCAAAAGAGAUGAAUCCAGGCUCCUUUGGUGUAUUGGUAGGAGGAUAAGAUGCAGUAGGCAAAAAUUUAAACUAGAGGUUUGGAUGGAUGUAAGAAGAAAGUUUUUCCCCAUAGGGGCAAACAAGCAAUGAAAUAGGUUGUCAGAGUAGUUGUAAGGAGUUUAUUGUCUGAGAUUUUUCAGAAGCCAGCAGGAUAAAACCCUAACCUGGCCUCCUAGUGGACCUUGGAUGGAAUGAGCUUCUAAGGUCCCUUCCAAUCUGAAUUAUUCUGAUUCCAUGAUUCUGUAUUUUAAAAUGAGAAAAAAAAAUCAACUGUUUAGUUGUGUACACUAAACAAUAUUGCAUUAGCCUAAAAGUUAAAUUGAUGUUUUGCAUGUUAUUUUUCUUUUUUAGAGUCUUAGUCUCUUAACUUCAUCUCUUUCAUCUACUUUCUGUCAGGGAUUUUUUUUCAGUGCAGAAUAGCUUCAGGCUUCAACUUCUCUUCCUCUGCUAUUCCCAAACCUUACAGACAGUCUGAAAUGCAAAUAUAUUUUUGUUCUCUACCUACCAACAUGACUGCCUAUUAAAUUAUUCUGCUAAUCCCACAAAAGAUCUCCUCAGGAUUCUUUCUAAGCUCCACUGUGUUCUGGAAAAAUAACCAGAUUUUACUUCUUUUGGGUCUUUGUUCAGAGCAGAAGAGGCCAACCGUAAUUGCAAGCAAAAAAGAAACAACAGCCCUGCCAAUAUUAGAUCCUGCUCUUAAUUAUGCACUUCAUAUUCACUGUGACUUCCUCUGAAGCUUUCUUCUUGCAGAAUUGCUGCAUUGAUUUUUAUUUUUUUUUUCUUUUUUUUUUUUCAGCUCAGAAGUACCACAUUAUGGCAUUCAACAGGAUAGGUUGAAAAUUAAAUACUUUUACAUUUCUUUGAUGUAUGACUAUAGUGUGUGUAGCACAUAAUUCACUGCAUUCAAGUUACAAUACGGCUAUUGUCAUAAAAGGGCAAGAAGGCAUAGAGAUAUUUUGUAUGUGUAGGGCAACCAUUGUGAUUUUGUCUGGAUUUCUGGAACUUAAUGUUAGCAUUGUAUUUUCUAAGGUCAUGAGUGUAUGGCACAUCCUGGACUCUUUUGCCUCUUGUUCUUAACAUGCAGGAAAGUGUGUGCUACAUGGAGGAGGGAGCAGAAGGAACAGGAUCUUCAACUGAGAGAGACGUUUUCUCAGACAAUAAUAUGUUUUGAGGGAUCUCAUCCUCUUCAUCUAAGAAACUGAGCACUCUGUAUAAAAUCUACUUCAGAGCUUGUGCUUCUUCAUGGUCACCGUCUUUCUUUAAAGAAUCAGGAGAAGAGAGUGGAAAAACUGGGUGGUAUUCAGCAACAGAGAAGACAGACAGAGCUAGAAAGCUGGUAUCUCCACCUUUUGAUCUGGAGUUAUGCGUGGCUAUAACUUCCUGGUGUUUUUCUAUUGCCCAUCCUUAGCAGUUCAUAAUUCUGAUGGUGAUUUUGGGCCAAAUGGCUCAGGCCAACUGUUCAAAUUAGUUAAGGUUUGAUCUCCGGAUAUAGAAAUCAAUUUUCACACAUUAUAAGUACUUAUUGCCAUAUAUGAAAGCGUCUAUAAUUGCAGAAUUAUAAAUAUUUGUAUGUUUAACAUGCGUCAAUUUUGUGUUAGUACCUAUUGGCCUGUUCUUACUAUCUGUGUGCUAAAAGCAUAUACACUGAGAGUAAUCAUGUAUUGCAAUUUUCUGGCACAUGUGUGGGAGCUCCAAUGCAUUUUGUAUCAGGAGGGCUGAGCAGAGGUUAGUUAGUCCCCCUUGAAUUUUUUUUUUUUGCAACUUGAGGUUUUACAGAUUCAUAGGUCAUUUCACAAUGCUAUUCCUCUGCAGCGACAGAGAUAUGUUCCUAGACUUAACUGAUCUUUUCAACGUUGGCUGGAGGAGUUGCUGUGGUAAUGAUGUUUUGACUUGUUCACUAUUCACAAGCAAUGUAACAUUAUAUGUAUAUUAAUCCAAGAUUGUCUUCCAUAAUAACACACCAAUUCUGUGCUUGAAAGUCCAAUGUGGGGAAGAUAGUGGCAGAGAUUUUAGAUGCUGUUCUGAACAUAAGUUUUGUAAGACAUUUAUGUGUCAGAAAUUUCAGUGAAAUUGUUAAGAGUUUGAUCUAGGAGAGUAAACCAGCUGAGCUGAUACGUACAUUCCUAUCAGAUGUCCUGCACAGAGUUCCUACAGCAGAGUAAAGGAAAAUUGCACGUUAAUCUUUGUGUCUGUGGCAGGGACAGAAAUUUGAGCUUCCUCAUCCGUGUACAAGGAAGCAAUUUUUGGAUGUAAGCUUUAAGGCACUAGAAAAGGAAUUAUAUAAUGAGUCAAUUCAGGGAAAAAAAAAAUGUUUAGCAGGCUACACGCAUGCCUACAAAACCUUUGAGAAAGGUCAAAUUGCACGGGCACUUCCAAGUCACUGCUAACUGCAUAAAUCAUAUUGCACAGAACAUUUUUUUUUUUUGCUAAGACUAUAUUUUAGAGCUGCAGAUCAAACAGCUGCAAGCCUAAUGGCAGAAUUUUCAUUUCCGGGUACAGUUUUUAGAGUUGUGGGCUCGCAUGAUAUUUUGAAAAAGAAACACAGAGGAAUGGAUCUAGUCUUAAAAUUAUCACUUGCAGCGAAACAUUGUCACAGGUGUAGUUGUAGGGCGCGCUGAAGUGGUGAAUUUUGAAAGAGGUAGCCCAUUUCAAAUUUAGGGCUGUAUCUUUUAGGCAGAAGAAUUCUAGGACUAGAGGCUAUGGUGCAGUUGCAUCUUUUUGAAAAUAAAGUCUGGAUUUAUCAAACUGCAGCCUACUGUCUCUAUUUUGGGGCUCCCCAGUGACAAGGAAGAUACUAGCUUACUGGACCAAGUCAAUGGAUGAUUUCUGCUAUGAUUAGGAAUCUGAAGCCCAAGACAUUACAAGGAGAAGUUGAGACGUCUAACUUUGUUCAGAGUGCCUUUUGAUUGCAUCCUGGAAAAUGAAAAGUGGAAAAGAAAAAAAUUCAGCAGAGCAAGGACAAUGACAAAAUGUAGUAACAACUGGAGCACCACUGAAAAUCUAUUCCUGAGUCUGUAUUAUCAAUUCAAGGAUAAUACUUAUCCGUGUGCUUGACCUCACCACCCCCUGCAGUAUCUGCAAGAACACCUGUAACAUUUAUAGUUUGCAGUCUUCAUUGCAGCAUCCUUUCAUGCUGUUUUCCCUGGAGUGAAAUUAAAUUUUACAUUACUCAAUAGCACUGUCUCUGUAUCAUGUCAGAAUAGACUUUACUAGUGCUUUACUGGAUGCUGUAUUUACAUGAGUAUGGAUAACACAUGGUAAUUCUAGGGUAGGGAGAGAAACUUAUUCAUGCUUGUCCAAAUGAGAACAAGCAAAAUAUAUGAUCCUAUGAAAAUAUCUAGUCUGUCUUCCUUUCCCCCUUUCCUUUAAGUCAAGCUGAUGCAGCUAUAUCAACACAUUUGGUCAUGUGGAUGCUCAUUAGCUGUUGCUAGGGGAAAGAUGCAGACCUGGCUUUCAUCACUAGCAGUAGAUGAGUUACCUUCCAUGAGUUCCAUCCAGAGGUUUUGAAUUUCUCCCUCUGGUCCCUUCCGGGCCCCAGGUGCUGCAGUUUGAAUACUGCAGUAGCCUUGUUUUCAUUCUCCCAGACAAAAAUCUUUGACUUCCUGUGACAGGGAUGGAUUUGCCUGGCUUUACCUGAGGCUUCGUUUCUGUUCCUGUUUUUCAAAUAUGUUGCCUUCAGUGUUGUUUUUUCUGUUGUUGUUUUUUUUUUUUUCUUUUUUUUUUUUUUCCUCUCUUGAUGCAGCAUUGAUUCUGUAAGAUGGGACUUUGCAGAGAUUAGCUUCCAUGUGACCUUGGCAGACUUUUUUCAGGUUAUUCAGCCCCCUACCUAAACUUUUAAUCCUAUGCCUGGCUGAGCUCGCCAAAGCAUUAAUCUCUGAUGGGACUGAGGUGGUAACCCUUAGGUAGCUGGUUUUGGUUUGGUUCUCCUGAAUUGAAGGUAUGAAGAUUACUAUAAAAACACUUGCAUUAGUGAGGCUGAUAUGGUGUUGAAGCUGUAAAAAGUACAAGUUUGUAUUUUGUAAAGACUCAGAAGUUGAUCUGUACUGGAAACCAUAGGCUAGAAAAUAGAGAUCCCUUAAGGUGGGCUGAGGAAGAAGGUCUAAUGAAGGAUGGUAGUUAAAGAAAUAUAUGGGAACUUUCUUCUACGGAAACAUUCAGAGCCAUAUUUAUUUUAGUUUGUUCUUGUUUAAAUCAAGGGAAUCGAAUACUUGUCUGUGUAACUUAUAGCUUGCUUGAUUUGAAGUGUACCAUAUUCAGGAAGAAUCAGAGUACUGCAUUCUAUCGGUUAACCACUAAUUAUUGCUUUUUUUUCUACAGAUAUCAGGUGUAUUUUUAGGACUUAUGUGCUUGGGUUUUUUGUUUGUUGGUUGGUUUUUAGUGCUGUUAUCAAGCUGAGGUUGUGAUAGAGAAGCAGUUCUUUCAUGCACUUUUAUUAAACAGAUAAAAAAUUAGAAUGUGCUCAUCAGUUUCCAGUUGCAGAUUCCCAGGGAAACACACAUGAACAGGAAAAACAGAUAGUUAUAUUUGCCUAGUGAUACUUGCAUAGCGAAUUCUCUCAGCAAUCUUGCAGCUCUUUGCUUUUGCAUGUUGAGGGCUGGAAGAAAUUUGCUGACUGAGAUUUGAACUAACGUUGCUGAAGGCUCAGUGCGUACCAUUAACCAGUUCCCUGGAGAAUUCCAGAAACAAGAUUAAAGAGUGUUGUCAGCAAAUUACAUAUGCAAUAAAAAUGGGGCAAUACAGCUAAUUGUGAGGCUAUGCAUACAUACUUUAGUUCGUGGUAGAAGGAACGAACAGGUUUUACGAUGAAGGAAGUUUUGUGCUAAAGAUCUACAUGGUAAUAAAAAAAGGGCCAGCGUACCUUUUAAGUUUAUGGAACAGUUACUUAUGCUUCCUGCAGGUGUUAAUAAUUGGCCUUUUAGUCCCUACUGCUAAAUAUAUUCUGUGGGUACAAAGACCCUGCAGACUUCUGUAGGACCCCCAUUGUAUAUUAAAAAAGAAGAAAAUUUUAGCACCAAGACUUGUAGAAUCAUGUUGGGAAUCUCUGUGGAAAUGCUGAACACUGUUACUGUUUUGUUUUUGUUUUUUUCCUAAGUGCUAUAACCCUGCACCUCUUUUGGUAAUUCUGCCAGGUGCACAGUAUAUUGCUCUCCCAGUAUGCUGUGAAUGAAAACCAUCGUAAGUCUCAGUUAAGUUACACUGUGUUCUACAGCUGUUUUGCUGCUGUUAAGAAAGAGAAGUCAGCUUCAGGUUGUAAGAAAGCUGAUGGACAAGCAGGCAGCAGCGAGAGUGGUUCUGAUGUUCCUGUGCAUGCCAUACACACAGUACCUGAACACUCACUAUGUUUAAGCAGUAGUGCCCCAUGAGGUGUUUUUAUUAAGCAGAAUUUUUUUGUGUGUUUACUCAAUCGUUGCUGCAUUCUAACAACAUUUAUGACUCUCAUAGAAAGCUAAUUUGAGAUCCCUGGUAACAAGGAAAUUAUUUAAGGAUGCUGAUGAUUUGGGGACUCUGCUAUGUUACAUGUUGCAACUGUAAUUGCUGACUCCAGAGCCCUGGCCAGCUGCUCAGAAAUGGAUAAUUUUGGUGAUGAUGUGAAGAAUUGUAGUGUCCUGACAAAAUUCAGUUACUCAAAGAAGGAAACAUCCGAAUUUCCUUUGGAGAAGAUUGGUUGUGUUACUAGGUAAGUAGAAGAGCACAAGUAUUUGGCUAAAACAGGUCUAGGCCAUCUCUAAAGUGGAUUACUAUUUACUCUAAAGCAGGUUACUAUGAGCAGAUGCUGUUGGGCCUCCAUUCAUGAAAGUCUGAGCUCCUUGUAGUCUCUAGACAGUCAUGAGAGAGAAACUGCCCUAAAAAAAAAAGCAAAGAUUAUUUUACAGUGUUCUGAGAAUGAAGAUUUUGGUAGAGAAUGGGUUACCAUGCUGUGCACAGUGGAAAAUAUGAAUUAGGGUUUAGUGUGUGAAGGGACAUGUGCUUCUCUGGCUUACUAAGAUAGCUUUGAAGGUUAUGGAAAAUCCAGCAUGAAACCAAUCUUGCUGCAUUCAUAUAUAUAUUGUCAGUAGGAUUAGUACUGAAGUGCAAUCUGACCUUUCUGUAUGCCUGUUUCUGUAUUUGGGAAAUUUAUUGAUAUGCAGUAAAGUUCAGUCUGAGUAUAUGCCAAAAUGUAGGUAAUAUGCAAUCAGGGAAAGAGGGACUAAAACUUGAGUGCAAAGUUAUUAAUAUGAUGGAUGGAUUCCAGUGAGAAUCUGUAUGAGACAUGGAGGAAAAAAAUAUGAUUUAAAAAAGAAAAAUAUCUGAAACAUGUAUAAAAUAUAUAUAUUUUUUCUGUUAUAAUUAAACAUUAGCUUUUAAUACUGCAGAACAAAGUGUUUGAUUUCCAGGGUCAGUCUCCCUGAAAACACUGCUGUUAAUAACUCUCAGUUUGAAGAGUCUUCUGUCAUGAACAGUGAAGAUCUUCAUUAGUUACAGGGACUGAAGACAAAGAAGGUGCCUGGUUGCAGAUAUAGCAAAAUGGACAUCUUCAGGAGCUCCAAUUAAAGCUUCUAUGAAAGAGAUUUAAAAAAAAAAAAAAAAGGAGAGAAAUACAAUGGAGUACACCUGAGUGCUAUACAUGGAACAAUUACAUAAUGAAAGAACAAUAGGAUUUUCAGCUUUUCACAUUUUCUUGAGACAUUAUGAAGAAUCUGGCAGUGAUCAGAACAGUAAAUUGAGAAAAAUGGUAAGAUAAAAUGCAGUUAUAAUGGCAGUAGCAGUAGCAGUGAGCUAAUCUCAGUGGUAACUUGUGUGUUGCUAUUACUAGAUUCACAGUGUGAUUAUUAAUGGCAAAUGCAAAGCUGAAACAAUGAUAUUUCCUAAAUAUGUCGUACUCUAUCUGAAACUGUAGUAAUUAAAAUGUUUAUAAAUGAAUGGAGUUAAGUUAUUCUUAUUUCAUUUGCUGCAUGUAUGACACUUGAAACUGAAAUAACAUUUGGGAAAGCAUUAUUUAACUGUCAAAAGAAAAUGUUAGAAAUGAGAACUUAAAUUGUGAAGUCAGAAAAUAGGAACUAUUGACUUAGUGUAUUGAUUCUUUCAAAAAUGUGUAUGUGCAUGAAAAUCUGUGCACUUGGUAUUCUCUCCUAACAAAUAAGUUUGAGGAAAAAAGGUGGUAAGUACAUAAUUUUUUUCCUGCAGCGUUGUUCAGGAAAUGAGAAUUCUUAA